CCGGCGACCUCCCCCGCUGCCCCUCGGUCGCCCAGGGGCGGGGCCCAGGGAGAGGUCGCGACCCCGGACGACCUCACGGAGGUGUUCCGCCGGAUCCGGCGCCGGCGGGAGUUCCGGCCGGACCCCAUGGCGCUGGCGGCGCUGCUGGAGAUGGGCUUCGAGGAGAAGGACGUAGUGGAGGCGCUGCGAGUCAACGGCAACAACCAGGAGGCCGCUUGCGAGUGGCUGCUGGGGGAGCGCGCUGGCGCCGCCUCCGAGGGCGGGGAGGGAGGCUUGU